AUACGGAGGGUGCAAGCGUUAAUCGGAAUUACUGGGCGUAAAGCGCUCGUAGGCGGCUUGUUAAGUCGGAUGUGAAAGCCCCGGGCUCAACCUGGGAACUGCAUUCGAUACUGUCUGGCUCGAGUAUAGUAGAGGGAAGUGGAAUUCCGGGUGUAGCGGUGAAAUGCGUAGAUAUCCGGAGGAACACCAGUGGCGAAGGCGGCUUCCUGGACUAAUACUGACACUGAGGUACGAAAGCGUGGGGAGCAAACAGGAUUAGAAACCCCAGUAGUCC
rnacentral:rRNA from 1 species